UGCCUUGUAGUAUAUACCAAGCCUAAUACAAUAAACUGCAACUUUAUUAAAGCGACUAGCCAAGGCAU
rnacentral:tRNA from 1 species